ACUGACUGACAUACAGGUGUUGUCAUGUCUGGAGAGGAUAUCUGGAAAUGUCAGAGCCAUCUUGCCAUCAGCCUGAGGAUGCAGCCAGCGACUGAGGAUGGAGGAACACAAAACGGUCAGGAAGAUGCUGCCAGCAUGACAGCUGCCCAGCACCCAUUAGGCUGGUCAUCAGGCAAUGGACUGUGGAGUCUGGAGCACGGUGGAGCAUGCCCAGCAGUCACCACCGCCCAGAGAGAAUGCCUCCACUUCUCUGCACUCCAGCACACGAGUGUGUUUAUCAGCAGAAGCUCAACCUCAUCUAGAUCCCUAGCAGAAAGGGAGUCGGGAAAAUAUGGUUUUAUGUCUUUCCAGCCCCUGUGAUCCAUAGGGGAGCAUAGAAAAAUGUGGAAAUAGAAGCUUAGGACCAAAGGGCAGUAUCUAGCACUCCUUUCUACCUCACUGGAUCUAACAGAAACCAGAGACCUUCCACCAUCUCUUUGCAAUUACUCUCUUAAUUCUUUCUCUUAAUUUUUUUAAGCUCUUUAUUGGAAUAUAAUUGCUUUACACUCUUGUACUAGUUUUUGAGGUACACCAGAUCUCUUAAUUUUUAAUGUCAUUUUUCCUCUUUUAUGUUUCCCAUCAUUGUUGAAAAACCUAUUCAGAAGGAUGUAUUUGCAGAAGUCUAAAUGGGCUGGGAGAGUAGAGUGGAAAAAAGAAAGUGGUAAGAUGCAGUGCAAACCAAAUAUAUUCUAUUUCAGUGAUCUAUUUGAAUGAGUUGUAGUCAUGUAGAGACGUUUGAGAUUGUGAGAAAGGAAGGCAAACAGAGCCUGACUAUCCCCAGAAAAGUCUGGAUUUUGGCAGCUGGGAGUGGUUGGAGUGGGCACGUGUGGGUUGGAGAUUGGGUGCAGGGUGAACAAGGGUUAAAGACAAGGGCUCACAAGGAAUCUGCCGCUCAGGGAUGGGACGUGACCCCACAAAGUGAGAGGAAGACUGGCAGUGGUCACGCUCAGAGGAACAGAGCUGAGGACUUGAGCAGAAUAAGCUGCAGCUUGAUUGGCAAGUCAAAGUUGAAAUCGAGUCCUUUGGGAGAGAGAAUUUGGAGUCAAGGUCUGGGAUUGCUCCAGGGACUCAGUGUGAGUGCCAGCCCUCAGCUGUCUCUGAUUUGAGGUGGCAUAGUGUGCAGGGAAGCCUUCUAUAAUCAGAGGGCCCUGCUUGUAUCAUUUCUCUGAAGCUACUUCUGUGGAUAGGUGUGGGGUUCUGUCAGACAACGGCUGAUUUCCAAGGUCCCAAGAACUUUGUGGUUUAGCUCUUUCCCCAGGGCUCAGGUGAGAUGUUCUGCUGAGAGACAGCUUGAUUAGGAGUCAAAGUUGUGCGAAAGGCUCAGGACUUUUUUUCCCCUUCUCUCUCUCUCUCUCUCAUUCUCUCUCCCCUCCUUCCUGCUUCUCUCCCUUGGCUCCCCCCCUCCCCCCUUGCCUUGCUUCCUUCCUUCUUUCUUUUUAAACAUCAGAUGGGAUCUUUUCCCCACGUGGAAGGCUACUGAACCCUUGGGUAGGUAAGUACACUGGGUCUGAGAGGUCAGGGCUAAGGGCAGGGACAGGAGCCGCUUAGUGCCAAGACACCUUCCUAAUGGACAUGACUCCUCAGCUCUCUUCGGUCUCUUUUUAACACCCCAGAGAGCAGCUGCUGUGUGACUCUCAGGCUUGCUGGUUAUUCUCCAGGGCAUCAGAGUGCAGCGUGAAGGCAGCGAAGCGACUGAUUUUAUUCCUGCCGGGAUCAGGGCACUUUCACUGCUCGGUGGCCCCAGACUGCUCCCCUUGGCUCGUCUACAGCUGUGGGCUAUUGAUUCCAAGAAGGAUCCGAUGGGCCUCACCAGAUCCAUUGGCAAUGUUGGAAAACUAUCACCUCAGGAGCAGCAGUGUGCCCCAACUGUCCUUUUCACAUAUGAAGGACUAAACAUUUUUCUAUGCCAGUGAUUUUCAAAUUAUCUUAGUCUUUAAAUUCCUUUUUCUUCUCUUCCAAAUGCAAUCUUACUUGGGAACUCCAUAUAAAAAUUAAAUAGAAAAGGAACUCUUCUGAUUGACUAUUGGUUGAGUUCAGACACCCACGUAUUCAUCCCCUCUCUCCUUUGACUAUGUCCAAAAUUUUUCUAGAAUUUUAAAACACUGUAUUAGGUGUUCUUUAAUGCUGGUUGGUAUGCUUACUCAGUUUUAAGGAGAAAUAAACUGAGGCACAAAGGGGCUAAAGAACUUUCUUUGCCAAGAUCAUGCCAUGAGUUUGAAUUAGUCAGGAACUGUACUUGGCUGAUCUGAAAAUUGGUUUAAAUAAGAUAGGGCUUUAUCUUCCUCUCAUCUAACAAGAAGUGGACAGUGUAGGGCUGAUGUGGUGCCAUGAAGUUUUGGGGGACCCAAGCUCCUGGCAGCUUGCCAUCCCACAAUCCCUACGAUAGAUCGUCAUCUCAUAUUUAUAGUACGGCUUCUGGAGCUCCAGCCAUCUGGUUAGCAUCUGGAAGAUGUGGAAAGAGGAAGGACAGAAGGAUCCUGUCAGCUGAGUCAGUCCCUGUAAAGGGGGCUUUCUAAAAUGCCUCAAUGACUUCUACUUACAUCUCAAGUAAGUCUUAAAAAAGUUUAGGAUGGGAAUCCUGUCACUCCCAGCAAUAUAGGAGCUCUGGCAGUGAGGAAGGGGAGAAUCUACAUCGCGUGGGGAACUAGUCGUCUGCCACAAACAUGAUGCCCAUACUCUCUGAUGUGCACGUAUCCUGAUUCGACCUGAUUGCAAACAGUCUGCCUACAAAGUCAGUACUUCAGCACUUAAAUGUAUGUUCUUCCUAUUCAGAAAAGGCUCAAAUAUCGUUUGCUAGGGUCACGUGUCCUGAAUUUAAUUCAGAAAAUGAAGUAACCUAAUAAACAAAAUAA